rnacentral:rRNA from 1 species
UACGAAGGGUGCAAGCGUUACUCGGAAUUACUGGGCGUAAAGGGUGCGUAGGUGGUUGUUUAAGUCUGUUGUGAAAGCCCCAGGCUCAACCUGGGAAUGGCAAUGGAUACUGGACAGCUAGAGUGCGGUAGAGGGUAGUGGAAUUCCCGGUGUAGCAGUGAAAUGCGUAGAGAUCGGGAGGAACACCAGUGGCGAAGGCGGCUACCUGGACCAGCACUGACACUGAAGCACGAAAGCGUGGGGAGCAAACAGG